rnacentral:rRNA from 1 species
CCUANGGGGGGCAGCAGUGGGGAAUAUUGCACAAUGGGGGAAACCCUGAUGCAGCGACGCCGCGUGGAGGAUGAAGGUCUUCGGGUUGUAAACUCCUUUUAUUGGGAAAGAUGAUGACGGUACCCAAUGAAUAAGCCACGGCUAACUCUGUGCCAGCAGCCGCGGUAAGACAGAGGUGGCGAGCGUUGUUCGGAAUUACUGGGCUUAAAGGGCGAGUAGGCGGUGGGACAAGUCUGAUGUGGAAUCUUAGGGCUUAACCCUAAAACUGCAUUAGAAACUGUUUUACUUGAGUCAGUGAGGGGAGGGCGGAAUUCCCGGUGUAGCGGUGAAAUGCGUAGAUAUCGGGAGGAAGGCCGGUGGCGAAGGCGGCCCUCUGGCACUGUACUGACGCUGAGGCGCGAAAGCGUGGGGAGCAAACAGGAUUAGAUACCCCANUANUC